rnacentral:rRNA from 1 species
AGAGUUUGAUCCUGGCUCAGAUUGAACGCUGGCGGCAGGCCUAACACAUGCAAGUCGAGCGAGAAAGGCCUUCGGGCCGAGUACAGCGGCGGACGGGUGAGUAACGCGUAGGAAUCUACCCGGUAGUGGGGGACAACAUGGUGAAAACCAUGCUAAUACCGCAUACGCCCUAUGGGGGAAAGCGGGGGAUCUUCGGACCUCUCGCCAUUUGAUUAGCCCAAGUGAGAUUAGCUAGUUGGUAAGGUAAUGGCUUACCAAGGCGACGAUCUCUAGCUGGUUUGAGAGGAUGAUCAGCCACACUGGGACUGAGACACGGCCCAGACUCCUACGGGAGGCAGCAGUGGGGAAUAUUGCACAAUGGGCGAAAGCCUGAUGCAGCCAUGCCGCGUGUGUGAAGAAGGCCUUCGGGUUGUAAAGCACUUUCAGUUGUGAGGAAAGGAGUGUAGUUAAUAGCUUGCAUUCUGUGACGUUAACAACAGAAGAAGCACCGCUAACUU